rnacentral:rRNA from 1 species
AGUGAACGCUGGCGGUAGGCCUAACACAUGCAAGUCGAACGGCAGCACAGUAAGAGCUUGCUCUUACGGGUGGCGAGUGGCGGACGGGUGAGGAAUACAUCGGAAUCUACUUUUUCGUGGGGGAUAACGUAGGGAAACUUACGCUAAUACCGCAUACGACCUACGGGUGAAAGCAGGGGAUCUUCGGACCUUGCGCGAUUGAAUGAGCCGAUGCCGGAUUAGCUAGUUGGCGUGGUAAAGGCCCACCAAGGCGACGAUCCGUAGCUGGUCUGAGAGGAUGAUCAGCCACACUGGAACUGAGACACGGUCCAGACUCCUACGGGAGGCAGCAGUGGGGAAUAUUGGACAAUGGGCGCAAGCCUGAUCCAGCCAUACCGCGUGGGUGAAGAAGGCCUUCGGGUUGUAAAGCCCUUUUGUUGGGAAAGAAAAGAAGCAGGUUAAUACCCCGCUGUUCUGACGGUACCCAAAGAAUAAGCACCGGCUAACUUCGUG